UCCUUUGUUGUAAUGGAGCCCCUCCCUGCAUCCAGUGAAAUAUCUAUCAUUACCUUUUCACGUUCCAGCGUUCAUUUGUCCACGGGAGGGGAUGGCUUCUUUGUUUGUUAUUUUACAAGUUGGCCAUUUUGCUGCCGCCUGUAUAACCACCCACGAAUUAUUUUUUUUUCUUUGUAAGGAGUGUGUGGGGCCGCGCCUCCCUUACCAACAUAUUCGGUGGGCCAGGCCAAAUCCAGCCAGUUCUUGGGUUCAGUUCAGCAGUCGGAACUGGAUUGGCAAGGCAGCCGGACGUAAUUCGCGAGCAACUCGGCGGUUCCAGCACCUUGCAGAGCUCAUAAAUCAGGCGGAAAAUGGACGACGAUACGGACAUCUUUGACAUCGACCCGCGCGAAGUGUGGCUGGAAAAGGAGGCCAUUGCGGGCUUUCGAGUGUGGCACAUUAUAGCUGCCGUUCUUGGAAUUUUAAUGUUAAUCAUGAUUAUGGUCUGUUGCUGCAUUCGCUUCCGGAUUCCGCGCACCAAACAGGAAAUAGAGGCGGACUAUCAGCGGAAACAGAUCACUAAGAAGUUCCGUGAAAAGCUGCAGCAGAUCAAGAACUCCGAAAUGGACGACAUGGAUCUGCAGAAGGCACUUGCUUAUAUCAAAUUGGAACAGUACGAUGAUCCCUAAGGGCUCUGUAAAUUCACCCGCACACUGUACAAACUAUCGGAAGUACUUAAGCAGCAAACUCUUUAUCGCAAAAAAAAUAAAACACUGCCAACUUUGUGCCCGCAUCCAAAGCGAUUAUCUGAAUUUUCAGGCCAGCAUGGAGAGCAUGAAUGAAAAGCAGAAUGUUAAGUUUAAGAUCUAAGUGCCUCCUUAAAAUGUGUUUGAUGCGUAACUGUUAAAGUAUUGUGCUGCGGAGAUUGUAUCCUUAAGCGAAUUGUUAGUAACCUAAUUU